rnacentral:rRNA from 2 species
CGUGCCUAAUACAUGCAGUCGAGCGGACAGAAGGGAGCUUGCUCCCGGAUGUUAGCGGCGGACGGGUGAGUAACACGUGGGUAACCUGCCUGUAAGACUGGGAUAACUCCGGGAAACCGGAGCUAAUACCGGAUAGUUCCUUGAACCGCAUGGUUCAAGGAUGAAAGACGGUUUCGGCUGUCACUUACAGAUGGACCCGCGGCGCAUUAGCUAGUUGGUGAGGUAACGGCUCACCAAGGCGACGAUGCGUAGCCGACCUGAGAGGGUGAUCGGCCACACUGGGACUGAGACACGGCCCAGACUCCUACGGGAGGCAGCAGUAGGGAAUCUUCCGCAAUGGACGAAAGUCUGACGGAGCAACGCCGCGUGAGUGAUGAAGGUUUUCGGAUCGUAAAGCUCUGUUGUUAGGGAAGAACAAGUGCAAGAGUAACUGCUUGCACCUUGACGGUACCUAACCAGAAAGCCACGGCUAACUACGUGCCAGCAGCCGCGGUAAUACGUAGGUGGCAAGCGUUGUCCGGAAUUAUUGGGCGUAAAGGGCUCGCAGGCGGUUUCUUAAGUCUGAUGUGAAAGCCCCCGGCUCAACCGGGGAGGGUCAUUGGAAACUGGGAAACUUGAGUGCAGAAGAGGAGAGUGGAAUUCCACGUGUAGCGGUGAAAUGCGUAGAGAUGUGGAGGAACACCAGUGGCGAAGGCGACUCUCUGGUCUGUAACUGACGCUGAGGAGCGAAAGCGUGGGGAGCGAACAGGAUUAGAUACCCUGGUAGUCCACGCCGUAAACGAUGAGUGCUAAGUGUUAGGGGGUUUCCGCCCCUUAGUGCUGCAGCUAACGCAUUAAGCACUCCGCCUGGGGAGUACGGUCGCAAGACUGAAACUCAAAGGAAUUGACGGGGGCCCGCACAAGCGGUGGAGCAUGUGGUUUAAUUCGAAGCAACGCGAAGAACCUUACCAGGUCUUGACAUCCUCUGACAACCCUAGAGAUAGGGCUUUCCCUUCGGGGACAGAGUGACAGGUGGUGCAUGGUUGUCGUCAGCUCGUGUCGUGAGAUGUUGGGUUAAGUCCCGCAACGAGCGCAACCCUUGAUCUUAGUUGCCAGCAUUCAGUUGGGCACUCUAAGGUGACUGCCGGUGACAAACCGGAGGAAGGUGGGGAUGACGUCAAAUCAUCAUGCCCCUUAUGACCUGGGCUACACACGUGCUUCAAUGGACAGAACAAA